AGUGAACGCUGGCGGUAGGCCUAACACAUGCAAGUCGAACGGCAGCACAGGAGAGCUUGCUCUCUGGGUGGCGAGUGGCGGACGGGUGAGGAAUACAUCGGAAUCUACUCUGUCGUGGGGGAUAACGUAGGGAAACUUACGCUAAUACCGCAUACGACCUACGGGUGAAAGCAGGGUACCUUCGGGCCUUGCGCGAUGUACUGAGCCGAUGUCGGAUUAGCUAGUUGGCGGGAUAAAGGCCCACCAAGGCGACGAUCUGUAGCUGGUCUGAGAGGAUGAUCAGCCACACUGGAACUGAGACACGGUCCAGACGCCUACGGGAGGCAGCAGUGGGGAAUAUUGGACAACGGGCGCAAGCCUGAUCCAGCCAUACCGCGUGGGUGAAGAAGGCCUUCGGGUUGUAAAGCCCUUUUGUUGGGAAAGAAAUCCAGCUGGCUAAUACCCGGUUGGGAUGACGGUACCCAAAGAAUAAGCACCGGCUAACUUCGUGCCAGCAGCCGCCGUAA
rnacentral:rRNA from 1 species